rnacentral:rRNA from 1 species
GGACCCGCACAAGCAGUGGAGCAUGUGGUUUAAUUCGACGCAACGCGAAGAACCUUACCAGCGUUUGACAUGGGAAGUACCGGUUACAGAAUGGUAACCUUCAGUUCGGCUGGCUUCCGCACAGGUGCUGCAUGGCUGUCGUCAGCUCGUGUCGUGAGAUGUUGGUUAAGUCCCGCAACGAGCGCAACCCUUAUCGUUAGUUACUAACAGUUCGGCUGAGGACUCUAGCGAAACUGCCGGUGAUAAGCCGGAGGAAGGUGGGGAUGACGUCAAGUCCUCAUGGCCCUUACACGCUGGGCUACACACGUGCUACAAUGGUAACUACAACGGGACGCAAGCUUGUAAAGGUUAGCUAA